AACUUUCGGCAAUGGAUCUCUUGGCUCUCGCAUCGAUGAAGAACGCAGCGAAAUGCGCUACGUAAUGUGAAUUGCAGAAUUCAGUGAAUCAUCGAAUCUUUGAACGCACCUUGCGCCCCUUGGCAUUCCGAGGGGCACACCCGUUUGAGGGUCGUGAAAUUCUCAAAAAGCUUUCUUUGGAAGGGAUUUUGGACUUGGAAGCCUUUUUCUGGUUUCACCUCGAAGCGAACUCCUCCCAAAUGGAUUAGUGGGGUCUGCUUGGCCGAUCCUUGACGUGAUAAGAUGUUUCUACGUCUUGGGUUUGGCACUGUCACUCGGGCACCCGCUUCUAACCGUCUUGUCGACAACGAUGGCGUUCCGGUCACCACCGUUUCAUCGGUGGGAGGCUUGACCCACCAAAAAACCUUGACCUCAAAUCGGGUGAGACUACCCGCUGCACUUAAGCAAAUCAAUAAGAGGAGGCU
rnacentral:misc_RNA from 1 species